AUGACUAAGGACUGAAGAGAGAGGGCUUCAGAGUUUUGAGAGAGGAAAAAAAUCCUUUAAAGAUAAUGUUGGAAUGGCACAAUGCUGCGGAAUGCAGGAGGGCCCCCUCAAGCGUGUUAGGCAAAGAGGGGCUUCUUGGGUCACUUCUUGGUCACUUAGAUGAUCUGACAUGUGUGCCUUGGAGUUUGAGGAACAGAGGACUGAGAGGAAAGUCUGUGACUCAGAACAAACAGGGAGUUGGGGGAGAGCAAUAGAGACAAAUAGGUAAGGAGUGUUCCAGUGUGUUCUAUGGGCCAAUGAACCAGCAAGAGGGAGAGCUUCAGAACCGUCUUGAAAGGAACUCUGAGGACAAGAAUUCCCUUGUCUCAUGAAUUACCAUGGUAAAGCUCCAGUGAGGAAAUCUCCAAGAUUCUCCUUGAAACUCAGAUACGCCUACUGAGAGUGAAAGGAAGCACUGAAUAGCCACCAAGCUCAGAAGGCAAGAUCUCCAUAGUACCAAACCCUUUCUCCUCGUUCCUCCUGGGACCACUUCUAAAAGGUUCAGAAACAGCAGCUACUGGGUUGGUGAGGAACUUGUCAGUAAAAAGAAGCCAAUCAAGACCCCCUCACCCACCACUGGCUUUCAGACCCAAAGAAAUGCUGAGCUGGGAUGGAGGGAUAUGCUCCAGAUUGAUACGAAUUUGUAUUUUUUGCUAUUCCACUGGACCAGACAGCUUAAUUACUGAAAUGAGACUGCUCUUAUGACUUAAAUGGAUAAGAACUCUAUGAGAUUCACUCAGAAUUUCACCCCAGAUGAAAAGAACUUGCCCCACACAAGUGUGAAGUAUCAGAGGGAGAAGAAUAAACUUUUUCAUUUUCAUCCUAGCCAGUUAUAAGAUGACUGCAUAUAUUCAGUCUAUUUGCCUUAUUGUAUUUCUAUUUGCUUUUCUGAUUACUUAUUUUGAAUGCAGGCUCUGGCCAUUUGGCAGUGCAGAUUUUCAUUUUGAGCUCUUUCCUCCUCAAGCUCAGAAUAAAAAGGGUAAUUCUGCUUAGCCUGGCAUUUUGCAUAUUUUAGAAACACAAUAUUGUCCAUCUUAGCCCUGGUGCAAGAAGAGAGAAAUUUUAACCCAAUGCAGAAAUGGCUGACGAGGAGCCAAAGGGAUGUUGAACAACUUGCCAGCUUUUUCAGAAAUUGCUCUUUGCAGUGUGGUUUUAUUAUCUGUCUAAAAGAAUUAUAAGUUUUCAGCAUGCCAUGUACAAAUUUCAUUAAAUGCACAUAUCUUGAAGCACAAUGGUGACUAAGGUACCAGAGGAGAAAAUAAAGGAAAACCCAUGAAGAGGAAGAAGGAUGAAAUGUUUAAGAAUGCAGAUCUUACCAUGUGAUAGAAGACCUGUCCCUCAGGAUGCCCCUGAUCUCCUGCCGGCAUCUCUCCUGAUGCUCAGGGUUCAGAGCCAGGUGGUAGAGGAGCCAGGAAAUGCUCCCUGCCAUGGUGUCAUGCCCUGCCAAGAUGAAUGUGUUCACCUCAGACCGUAGCCUAUUCUUCUGGACAGACACAACACAAUUAUGACCGCGUAUGGAUGUGGGCCACCCAAAUGCAAGAAGUACCUGUGUACUGAUGGAGAAUUUUGACCAGCUCCUGUAAGCGAUGGCCCUGAGGGCUGAAUUUGAAAAUUAUGUCAUGGUGAUGUAAGAAACUGUACAAGCGGUAAAAGUUUAUUUUACUGGCUUCAAACGUUGUUUUAACAUAAAGAUCAUGGUUGCUAGGAGAGAAAGAAGGGACAAUAUGUCAAUGAAUGACUUAGAGGAUAGCCAAUAGAUGUCUUUCUUGUUUUCCUGUCACUGACCUGCUUAUCUGGCAGUUGGUCUCCUGGCUGAAAGCGCAUUUCAUCAGUACAUCCAAGGUCAUCAGGUUGAUGUGCUCAAAGACCUCCACAACUGUGUCCUGAGUGCCACAAAUCUUCUCCCACUUACCCUGGCAUAGGAGGUCAAGAUCAACAACAUCAUCAAAAUGCCUUUACCUGAAAGCUCCUCUCUGACUGCUCUUAGGACAUAAGGUAGACAGCCCUGACCUAGAAGGAGCCAUCCAUUAUAUAUGUAAAUUAAUCAAGUGGCAUGAGGAGGGGAAAACUGCACCGAGCUGUGUGAGAAAGAGCAUGGAGCAACCCGGGUUUCUGGAAAAUGGCUGAGUUAAGUAUCUUCGGCCUUUCAGUUAUUAUCAUAACUCUGCUUUACAGCAGAUCAGAGUCCCAGUAAAACAGACCUAUAAUUACAGAGGGUCUCUCCAGGGCUUCUUCCAUCUUCAGUCCCCAAAUUGCUAGACAAUCCACCCUAUCACUACUGCCAACCACCAUAGCCACA